UACGGAGGAUGCGAGCGUUAUCCGGAUUUAUUGGGUUUAAAGGGUGCGCAGGCGGCACGGCAAGCCGGCGGUCAAAUCGCGGGGCUCAACCCCGCCCAGCCGUCGGAACUGCCGGGCUAGAGUGGGCGAGAAGUGCGCGGAAUGCGUGGUGUAGCGGUGAAAUGCAUAGAUAUCACGCAGAACUCCGAUUGCGGAGGCAGCGCACCGGCGCCCUACUGACGCUCAGGCACGAAAGCGUGGGUAUCGAACAGG
rnacentral:rRNA from 1 species